GCCUUGGGCAAGUGGGCUAAUAAACAGCAAGGCACCAAAGCACACGUCUUCCUGAAGUUUAAUGACUCUCGGUACUGAACCUGACUCACUUAAAAAGCCAUGCUCUGGAGGCAAAUGAAACUGCUGCAUGGAGAAUUGAGGACUCUCUGUACUUCCAGAGUUGUGCGCCCACCAGUCCAUCUGCUCAAGUGUUCUCGCGUUUCAUCACGUGCCUUUCGGGGACUCUUCAACUUGGGAUGGCUCCUCUCUGCACCCUGCACUGAGAAGAAUCCCAUACCAGCUUUACUAGCAACUGUUAGUGCGUCAGCUGGAGUUGCCCCUUGGGGGCAAGAUGCCACCUUCUCUCGGCUCUUGAGGUCCCUUCCCUGGAAAGACAGGUAAGGGACAAACCAGCAGCACCCCUCUGCCCUUUUCUCUGGUGCCAGGAGGAAGGCAUUUUCUUUUGAGCUGAGGGAUAAGCAGGGCCCCCCAGCAGCAUCCAGCUCAGCCCUGCCCAAUCUAGCUGAUAAAGGAGCCAGAGUGAGGGAGAAACACCCUGGAAUCUGAACAAAGGCAGAGGGAAGGAAAGUCUGGGGAGGCUGAGCUUGGGUUUCAGUUUUGGAAAGCACAGCAGACCUGGCCGGGCCCUGCAGAAGAGCGUUCUGUCAGCAGCCGGGCCCUGGACCAGGAGGCGGGAGAGCCCCCCCAAGUUCGAGAUUCUGUUCUUCCCCUAUCCUCCCGUGCUGGCCCCUUUCUGGGCCUCAGCAGGGACUUGUGUGUGUGUUUAAAUAUCUCUGUCAAGAAUGGAGACCAAGACUGUGGGUGACUAAGACCUUCUCUAAUGUUUUACAUCUAUGAAGAGCUUUGAAGGGAAAGCAGCCAAUCCCCUGCCCAACCCUGAAGGGUUUCCCAUUUCAAAUGACUAAGUCAUGACCCUUUUUAGCCAGACUUCAAAGAACCUGAUCAAAGAUAACAUUUAUAUUAAAUAGAACAGCACAGCAUUUUUUCCUUUUUACUGUAAAGCCUGAAAUGAAAAACAGCCCCAUUUCAGCUCUCUGGCAAACAAGCUACAGAAAGGAGUGAUUGUUGCAGGACAACCCUCACACAGACUCUGCCCGCUUUUUUUGGAACUUGCUGGGCCCUACACUGAAUUUCCGACAUUAGAGAUGGUUCUUCAGGUGCUCAGGUCACUAGGCAAUCCAAAAUCACCAAGGCCCAUCUUGAUAAUCUCUGCCAUAAGCUGUUAUCAUCCGAGAAGGCAGCUGUGAUGUGGUGAAAAAAACACCUUGGACGUGGGCAUCAAAAAGUCUGAGUCCGCAAGACUUUGCCCUGUGUAGACACUUAACCUCUCUGUACCUUCACUUUCCUCAUGUACAGAAGUGGGGUAAUAAAUCCUAUAUAUCUGACAAAAUUGUUAUGAGUAGAUAAAAAUGUAUGCAAAAGUA